rnacentral:ncRNA from 1 species
AAUCUUUAUACAUAAGGCACCUCGUUAAUUUAGUUUAGUGAUGUUUAUUAAAUUAUACGAAAGGGCCUUAUUUUUUAGUAUUUCACUUAUAAAGACAAAGUAUUUUGGCGAGACUCUUGAGAGAAUAGACAAGCUGAAGACUACAGGCUGAAGCUGUCUCCUAAGAAAGCGAGCAACAAUACGAAGUAUUGUAAAUAAACAAGCCAGUAA